GCAAUAGCUCAGCUGUAAAGCUCUUGUUUUGCAUGCGGAAGGUCCCAGGUUCCAUCCCUGGUGUCUCCA